rnacentral:lncRNA from 10 species
UUGAGAGGCUGAAGAUGGAGGAUCAACUGAGCCCAGGAAUUCAAGGCUGCAGUGAGCCAUGAUUGUGCCACUGCACUCCAGCUUGGGCAAGAGAGCCAUAUCCUGUCUCUUUAAAAAUAAAAUAAUGAACUUGUAACCACCUAAUGGGUUCACCUUGCCCGCUGCCUAGACAGAGCCAAUUUAUCAAGACAGGGAAUUGCAAUGGAGAAAGAGUAAUUCACGCAGAGCCGGCUGUGUGGGAGACUGGAGUUUUAUUAUUACUCAAAUCAGUCUCUCCGAGCAUUUGAGGAACAGAGUUUUUAAAGACAAUUGGGCGGGUAGGAGCUUGGGAAGUGGGGAGUGCUGAUUGGCCAGGUUGAAGAUGGAAUCAGAGGUUGUUGGAGUUUUUCUUGCUAUUUACUCUUCCUGGUUGGUUUGGCAGAACUGGUUGAGGCAGAUUAUCGGUGUGGGUGGUGUCAGCUGAUCCACUGAGCUGAUUCAAGGAUUGUUGUCUCAUGCCUCCCUAAAAUGUAAAAGACCAAGUGAGGCAGGAAAAUAGGGUCUGGAGGUAGGGAACAUAAGGCCGAUUCACGCUUCAGCUAUAAGGGGAAAUACCCUCUCCAUAGGGCAUACACCGAGUAAAUGACUUCGUAACUUUACUUCACCGUCUUCAUUUACAUCGGGCGUACCCCAAGCAGAAGGUAUUUAAAUUCACAGAAAUUCUGCCGG